UACGUAGGGGGCAAGCGUUGUCCGGAAUCAUUGGGCGUAAAGAGCGUGUAGGCGGUCCGGUAAGUCGGCUGUGAAAGUCCAGGGCUCAACCCUGGGAUGCCGGUCGAUACUGCCGGACUAGAGUUCGGAAGAGGCGAGUGGAAUUCCCGGUGUAGCGGUGAAAUGCGCAGAUAUCGGGAGGAACACCUAUGGCGAAGGCAGCUCGCUGGGACGUUACUGACGCUGAGGGACGAAAGCUAGGGGAGCGAAUGGG
rnacentral:rRNA from 1 species